GAGACACCCUGCUGGGGCAAGGCUUGCUUCAGUGGGGCUUUGGUGCUCACUGAGUCUUCAACCUUAGUGUGUCCCU
rnacentral:pre_miRNA from 1 species